GCGGAUGUGGCGGAACUGGCAGACGCGCAGGUUUCAGGUUCCUGUGGGCGACCGUGGGGGUUCAAAUCCCUUCAUCCGCACCA
rnacentral:tRNA from 1 species